UGGUGGUGGUAGCGGUAGCUGUGUUAGUGAACGGUUGGUGGUGGUAGCGGUAGCUGUGCUAGUGUUAGUGGACGGUUGGUGGUGGUAGCGGUAGCUGUGUUAGUGGACUUGAACGGUUGGUGGUGGUAGCGGUAGCUGUGUUAGUGGACGGUUGGUGGUGGUAGCGGUAGCUGUGUUAGUGGACUGUUGGUGGUGGUAGCGGUAGCUGUGUUGGUGGCGGUAGUAUUAGUAGUACUGUACCUCGAUCAGAGGUCCCUCAGACUGAAGGAUCUUGAUGACCAUCACCAUGGGGAUGCAGAUCAUGGAUGUCAGGGCCAAAGACCAGCCCAAGCCAAUGGACCAAUCGGGGUACUCGUACACCUUGUUAUACGUCAGAGGCUUGUACUUCGCCAGGGAGAACACAAA